rnacentral:lncRNA from 1 species
GCCUCACUUGAGUAGAAAGCGAAAUUUCUAUGGCUUUUAGCUGCGGAAAAAGAUUCGGAAGCGUCAAACUUUGGGUGCAUGCACGGCUGGGGUCAAAGGAGAUGUAUCUAUCCGAGUUGCACGUGAGAAAGCACUCGCGAGUAGAGAUGCGCACGUGCGUAUAAAGGUUUGUAGCGGCGAAAUGGCAUGCAUGCACGAUAAUACUCCACAAAAUACUGUGCCGGAGCUGAGAACUUGUACACGUUCAAUUCAGUGAAAGUCUCCAAAAUACCAUAAUUUGUAUGCAUAUUGUGUUGGUCAAAUUGAUUUUUAAAGUUCAAUCUCAAAAUAUGUGUGUCUUGUAAACGUAGCAGUACAAAGAAAAAACUUUAUUUUUGCCAUUAAGUAAUGUCUUAUAAAACUCUCGCUAUCAUAUCUUAUUUUUAAACAUGUAUACUUACUAAAAAAUGCAAUAGCCUAAAUAAAAUUAUAACAGAAGAAAAAAAAACAGAAGUGCCUG